AAACAACAAUUCCUUGAGGUAUUUUUGCAUCAGCCAAUGAUGUGAGUCUACUAAAAAAUAGGGAAAAUUCAGCAACAUAGUUAACAUAGCCCAGUUAAAGAAUUGAUAAUGGCAGAAGCACUUUGAACAAAGUUCAUAGAAACAAAGAAUUUUCAGGAAUUUGUCACUAACAUAAAGUAACAAUGCAAUUUCACAUUCGUAAAUAAAGCAGACUGGGUCUAGAAUGUGAAGUUCAGGGGGGGUCUAAAUUGUUUAAGGUUGCCUACUGUCCAGCUAAAAUAAGAGGACACAACUUCGUAUCUCCAUAAAACUGUCAAGUUUCUUACUAGAACAUUAAAAUAAAAGACCUCAUAUGAGAGUUGCCGCAAUAAAACAGUGAAAUAUAUCAUUUAUUAUAGUGAUUACCUCUUUUCUUGAGUAGUUCUGUGCACCUCUCCCAGGUUGAAUCUCCCUCCAAAAUCAGUUUUUAUCUUAGGCUUUCUACCUUCUUGGAAAACAGAAAAAGAACAGUUACUCAAAAUUAAAUAUACUAUAGGGGGGUUAUUUCAAUAGGAAGCUAACAUCGGUAUUGUAAAAGACUGGAUUGCUGUCACUAAAGUAUUGGAUGUCCACAAUCAUGCCAUACCUAUGCCGGGAUGGUAAACAGAAUAAGUAUAGGAUUACUCAAGUAAUUUACUACUUGUUCUAGCGCCUACUGCAUAAAAGAUAGCAGUUUCUCAUGUAAAUCAGGACAACAUAGCUAAUUUUUAAGUGUAUUUUGGUAUGAUUGAAGAAAAUGUUCACCAUAGUAUUAGAUCCCUUCCAGCCUCCUGCUCCAGCAUAACACACCUCCUUGUAAUUAAUCCAGCAAGGACUUCAUUAGCACAAAAUAAAAAUGAACAUGGAAUAGCAAGGCAAGCAAUAGGAUGAACCUGUCUAUGGUGAGGACUGAAUCUAUACCUAUUUAGUGUGUUACUGCAUGAAGUUCGUAAAUCUCAUUGGCCUCACGGUCAAGAGAUUGAUGACUAUCAUAUGUAUGCCUAUUGCUUUCCUCACCCAAUGUAUAAUAGCAGAUUCACAACUCGAGCAUGCCACUCUUCAAAGAUAAGAAUCACAUCCUACCUCAGAGUCUGUUGUAACUUCUAACCAACACUAGAUGGUGUCCAUUGGUUGCCGGUCUCUGUCUUAUUCAGGCGCAAGCAACAAGCCAACAUGUGAGGCCACACCCUAUUCCUUCCCCUGCUGGUCUCGCUUGCCCAUUAGUUCCCCCUGAGGCCUCGUUUGGCACGGGGGAUUCAGGAGGUUUCGAGAGGAAAAUUCCCGGGAGGACCAGAAACCCCAUAGAACCUCGGGCGUCCAUUUGAUAAGAGGGGUUUGCUUAACCGAAUCCCCUCCGUUCCCCUUCAAUCCGUUCCUAUCCAUAUGUUUCAGGACCCUCCUCGAGGAACCGGUGGAAGCAAAGCCCCGAGGAUUCGAGAGGAUUGGAUGAAAGGAAGGGAUUCAUCAAAUCCCCUCAAAUCCCCUCUUCCCCGAACCUGCUCAAUCCACUUCUACCAAACAAAGCCUGAUGGGAUGGUUGUGAGAGGUUUGUUCAAAAAAAUAAGAACAAAUACAACACUUCCAUUGCAUAGAUGGACAGAAAAAGAGAGUGAUAGAGAUCACGAUCCGAGGGGGAGAAGGAUGCAAACAAGCUCACCUUAGCAUCACCGACGACACUGCCGCCUCAACCAGAGAGUACCUCUUCCGUCCAUCGGCAGCAGCAACAACAGACCAACCUGCCUCGGCCCGUUGCCUUGGAGACUCGCCUGCCCCACCUCGACCCAAGAGCACCUCCUUUGCCCGCUCGCAGUAGGACCUGCAAUGCCGCCUCGGCUUGUCGCCAUCGCCAUCGCCGGUUGUGGUGGAGAUUGUUCUCUUGGAGCCGCGGUGGUGGCGGGCCACGCCUGCCGGUCACUCUCCAGACUUCUUCUGGGUGUUCCGAAAGCCCAAGCCCGAACCUUUUCCCCAAACC
rnacentral:lncRNA from 1 species